rnacentral:rRNA from 1 species
GACGAACGCUGGCGGCGUGCUUAACACAUGCAAGUCGAACGGUAAGGCCCCAGCUUGCUGGGGUACACGAGUGGCGAACGGGUGAGUAACACGUGGGUGACCUGCCCCGCACUUCGGGAUAAGCCUGGGAAACUGGGUCUAAUACCGGAUAGGACCGCACCGUGAGGGUGUGGUGGAAAGUUUUUCGGUGUGGGAUGGGCCCGCGUCCUAUCAGCUUGUUGGUGGGGUAAUGGCCUACCAAGGCGGCGACGGGUAGCCGGCCUGAGAGGGUGGACGGCCACAUUGGGACUGAGACACGGCCCAGACUCCUACGGGAGGCAGCAGUGGGGAAUAUUGCACAAUGGGCGGAAGCCUGAUGCAGCGACGCCGCGUGGGGGAUGACGGCCUUCGGGUUGUAAACUCCUUUCACCAUCGACGAAGGUUUUCUGACGGUAGAUGGAGAAGAAGCACCGGCUAACUACGUG